UACAGAGGUCCCAAGCGUUGUUCGGAUUCACUGGGCGUAAAGGGUGCGUAGGUGGUGGGGUAAGUCGGAUGUGAAAGCUCGGAGCUCAACUCCGAAAUGGCAUUGGAAACUACCCUGCUAGAGGAUUGGAGGGGGGACUGGAAUACUUGGUGUAGCAGUGAAAUGCGUAGAUAUCAAGUGGAACACCAGUGGCGAAGGCGAGUCCCUGGACGAUUUCUGACGCUGAGGCACGAAAGCUAGGGGAGCAAACAGG
rnacentral:rRNA from 1 species